AUCACAGCUCACUGCAGUCUUCACUUUUUUGUAGAGACAGGGUUUUGCCAUGUUGCCCAGGCUGGUCUCGAACUCCUAGGCUCAAGCAAUCUGCCUGACUUGGCCUCCCAAAGUGAUAGGAUUACAGGCGUGAGCCAAGCCCAGCCCAGAUAAGUAGUUUCUAUAUAGCCAUAUAAAUAGUUUAAUGUAUUUAUAUCACUAGUGUAGGGGAGUGCUUAAGCACUUGGAGUCUGGAGCAGGUUCUGCUGUUUCCCCUCUGGGCAACCCUGAGCUGGCCACCUGGGCUCUCUGUGCCUCAGAUUUCUCAUCCCUAAGAUGGGUGUGGUCAUAAUGCCACCUACCUCAAAGGGUUAUGAUGAGGAUGAAAUGGAUCAAUACAAGUAAAGCAUUUAGACCAGCCCCUGGCCUUCAAUAAGCACUGUACAUGAUUGGAGGCUCUAGUUAUUCUUGAGAUGAAACAAUCUCCAAAAUAUACCUACAAACACAAAGCAAGAUGCAGAAUAGAAAGUCAUCCAGCUCAAGUAUGAAGCCAGCAUCACAGAGAGCACGCCUGGAGGAUGGGAAAUGAAGGAGGAGGUGGCUGCACGUUUUCCAGCAAAACAUUCUUAGGGCUCUGGCUGGCCCAGUGGAGAUGGGGAAUGGAGAAGAAAGAUUCCAAACUAUGUAGGAAAAAUAUUUAUGCCUUGUUCUUUCAUAAAAGACACAAUGACUCAGGA